UACGGAGGGUGCGAGCGUUGUCCGGAAUCACUGGGCGUAAAGGGCGCGUAGGCGGCGCGAGCAGUCGAUCGUGAAAGUCCGGAGCUCAACUCCGGAUCGGCGGUCGAUACUCUCGUGCUUGAGCACUGUAGAGGCAGAUGGAAUUCCGGGUGUAGCGGUGGAAUGCGUAGAGAUCCGGAAGAACACCGGUGGCGAAGGCGGGUCUCUGGGCCAUAACUGACGCUGAGGAGCGAAAGCGUGGGGAGCGAACAGG
rnacentral:rRNA from 1 species